ACUCGAAUGAACGAACGGAGAGAUUCAUCGUCAUUCCUCGGCGCACUUGCGUUGGAUGUGUGGGGUUUCGAUCUCGCGCACCUCUCGCGUACGAGCGUCCGGGGACGGCGUGCACUUCUCUCUUAGUAAUACAUCGCGACCCGUUCGAUGUCGGUCUAAGUGCCUCGGGAGCCAUUUUGGAGACCGCACCGACCGGCCGUCGGACGGUACUAACGAAACGCUCACGCGCGCGCGUCCGGCCCGACGCAAGGUUCGUCGCAUCCCGCCUCCUGCCCGUGUGCGGUGUGCGGGUACGGCGCGCCUGUCGUCGCAGCCGUGCUGUCUCGGACUGUGUGCGUAUCCGUCUGCGAUGAUUCAGUUUCGGGCACUCGCAGGACCCGUCUUGA
rnacentral:rRNA from 1 species